rnacentral:rRNA from 1 species
AAGCCGGAAUUGCUAGUAAUGGCAGGUCAGCAUACUGCCGUGAAUACGUUCCCGGGCCUUGUACACACCGCCCGUCACACCAUGAGAGUUGGGAAUACCCGAAGCCUGUGAGCUAACGUUAAGAGGCAGCAGUCGAAGGUAGAAUCAAUGAUUGGGGUGAAGUCGUAACAAGGUAAC